rnacentral:lncRNA from 1 species
AAAAGGAAAUGUGAACCUGAGCCUCACUUGAAACUAUUCAGGUUGUCAUGAGACAAGACUAGACAGGAAAAAAUAAGCACACUGGAAUCUUGAGGGAGAUAAAUUUGGACACUCUUCAGCAUAAUGAUUUGGAAUAAAAAGGCAUGACACGUGUUGGUGGAGCAAUCCUUAGGAGGAGAUAUUUGUGGUCAUAAUUUAAAAUUAAUA